UUUUUAUGUAAUUUUAGGGAUGUAAUCACUCCAAAAAAAAAAAAAUAAAAUGCAAAUUAUCCAUUUUGCCCCUUAAAGAGGUUAUCUUACACAUCAUUCUACUCUAACUUCCUACCCCUUAACACUCUGUCCCCCUUCAUUUCUUUUAACAUUUCUAUGAUCCACACGGCAUUCUACUUUGCACCUAAUGGUGAUUAAAAGAUCAACACACAAGAUAUUGCGCAAGUAGCAACCACCCAAAUGCCUUAUCAGAUUGCCUAGCAAGACCCAGAAAUUAUAAUUUUGCUGAUUGCUUCGUUU
rnacentral:misc_RNA from 1 species